rnacentral:tRNA from 1 species
GGGGUUGUGGCUCAGGGCAGAGCGCUCCACCUAGCACGGGCGAGGCCCUGGGUUCGAUCCUCAGCACCACA